rnacentral:rRNA from 1 species
AUGGAGGGGGAUAACUACUGGAAACGGUAGCUAAUACCGCAUAACGUCGCAAGACCAAAGAGGGGGACCUUCGGGCCUCUUGCCAUCAGAUGUGCCCAGAUGGUAGGGAUUAGCUAGUAGGUGGGGUAACGGCUCACCUAGGCGACGAUCCCUAGCUGGUCUGAGAGGAUGACCAGCCACACUGGAAUCGAGACACGGUCCAGACUCCUACGGGAGGCAGCAGUGGGGAAUAUUGCACAAUGGGCGCAAGCUGAUGCAGCCAUGCCGCGUGUAUGAAGAAGGCCUUCGGGUUGUAAAGUACUUUCAGCGGGGAGGAAGGCGAUGUGGUUAAUAACCGCGUCGAUUGACGUUACCCGCAGAAGAAGCACCGGCUAACUCCGUGCCAGCAGCCGCGGUAAUACGGAGGGUGCAAGCGUUAAUCGGAAUUACUGGGCGUAAAGCGCACGCAGGCGGUCUGUCAAGUCGGAUGUGAAAUCCCCGGGCUCAACCUGGGAACUGCAUCCGAAACUGGCAGGCUUUGAGCUCUGUAGAGGGGGGUAGAAUUCCAGGUGUAGCGGUGAAAUGUUAUAUUACGUAGAGAUCUGGAGGAAUACCGGUGGCGAAGGCGGCCCCCUGGACGAAGACUGACGCUCAGGUGCGAAAGCGUGGGGAGCAAACAGGAUUAGAUACCCUGGUAUCCACGCCGUAAACGAUGUCGACUUGGAGGUUGUGCCCUUGAGGCGUGGCUUCCGGGGGGAGCUAACGCGUUAAGUCGACCGCCUGGGGAGUACGGCCGCAAGGUUAAAUGAAUUGACGGGGGCCCGCACAAGCGGUGGAGCAUGUGGUUUAGGGUUUAAUUCGAUGCAACGCGAAGAACCUUACCUGGUCUUGACAUCCACAGAACUUUCCAGAGAUGGAUUGGUGCCUUCGGGAACUGUGAGACAGGUGCUGCAUGGCUGUCGUCAGCUCGUGUUGUGAAAUGUUGGGUUAAGUCCCGCAACGAGCGCAACCCUUAUCCUUUGUUGCCAGCGGUUAGGCCGGGAACUCAAAGGAGUGCCAGUGAUAAACUGGAGGAAGGUGGGGAUGACGUCAAGUCAUCGGCCCUUACGACCAGGGCUACACACGUGCUACAAUGGCGCAUACAAAGAGAAGCAAACUCGCGAGAGCAAGCGGACCUCAUAAAGUGCGUCGUAGUCCGGAUCGGAGUCUGCAACUCGACUCCAUGAAGUCGGAAUCGCUAGUAAUCGUGGAUCAUGCCACGGGGGUUGAAUACGUUCCCGGGCCUUGUACACACCGCCCGUCACACCAUGGGAGUGGGUUGCAAAAGAAGUAGGUAGCUUAACCUUCGGGAGGGCGCUUACCA